UUUUUACCUUUAGUUUAGGAAUAUUUUCGUAAUUUUUCUACCCGUCAUUUUUUUGUUUUCACAUGCAUAUGGCAUUUUUUUUUAAACUCUUUUUAACUUUUUUUAAGGCAGAAUGCCAUGGUGGUUGUUUAUAACCAUUAUAUGUCACUGAAGUAAAAUGAUUCAGAAAGUUAAUCACCCCAAAAUUGUAAUCCCUUAAAUGCCACUUUUGGCCUGUUUUAGUGGAUUAAAUCUAACUUUGAAAUCAUGGACAUUAAGGUCACAAUGAUUUUUUUUUCUUUUUCUUCAGCAGUUCUCCUUCAAUCACUGACUUAGUUUGUUCAUUUAAUUAUUAUCUGUAUUUUCGAGCCAUUUCCCAGCAGGUGUUGCCUCCCUCUUAACCGUCCUGUCUUCGUGUCCUGUUUUAUCACAUACAUGACGAUCAUUCUCUGCCCACGUGUAUGUUAAAACACAACAUAAAUCAUUGUAAUAGACCGACAUUCACGUGACAGAUGGAGAGUUACCGACAACCGUCUUCUUCGCUUCUCCUGUGUGAUGUGGGUGCUGUGUAACAAUACUGCCACCUGCUGUUUGACUGAGCUGAUGGCAAGGAAGGAUGUAAGAAUGGAAAUAACGAACAGAAAAAUUAACUCUAGAAAACAUAAUGGAAGCAUUUCAAAUAUAUUUUAGUAACAAAUGAAUUAUUUUCAUUUAUGUGAUGUUGAACUGCUGAAAAAGGGGGAUGCUGAAGUCGCGCGGCUGUUGACCGCGAGUCACUCCGAGCAAACAGAGCGCAAUAACCAGUGACUCAGACAGAAGAAUCUGGACGAGCUUGGCAAUCAUCCACACGUCCGAGUUGAGGGGACCGGCCGUCCUUUCCUCAUUGCCAUGGCGAAGGUCCGGGUGCGAGCUGUCCGUAUGUGUUCAUUUCCUGCUGUGAAGGCUCUCCUGGAACUUGGUACUUGAGUAGCGGAUGUGGAAGCCCUUCUUGCUGAUGGUGUCGUCGCUAUGGAAACGAAUCAGCAUAGCAUCUCCAGGCUUAUGUCUGAGGCUCCAAUUUUCCCACCAACGUCGGAAGAAGAUGAGAAAAACCAGGCUGCUAGAGGUUUCUGCGCGCCAUGUGUGAGUCUACGUGCAGCAGCACUCACUAGUUGGACUCAAUACUGUUUAUAUUUCGUUUAUAAAUACCAUUAGCACAAGACUAGGUGACAUAAAAGCAGCAAACGUUUAAUUAUUAAGGAGUGUGCGGCAGGUUGGGUGGAGGGACAGCAUUGCUGACUCAUGACUUCUCCGUCUCCGGAACAAUGACAAUUCUAAAACAAACAUUUGGCUCUCAGCACGACAGGAGAGUUUGUGCUGAGGCGGGAAUCCUGAGGAAGACUUCGGAAACUCAGUGGCAGAGGCACUCUGCCCGGGAAAAUCCUGUUUAAUAUAAUAUGAGUGAGACCGGUUGUUCUGCGGCUCGCGGACGCACUCUGACUGCCACAGUGUCAAACACACAACGGACACACAUCGCUCUAGUUUCCUUCUUGCUGUGGGUCGGGGGGAAGGGAUUACGGACGUUGAUGUUCACUGUCACGACAAGUCAGGCUUCAAAGCAUGGAGAUAGAAUGUCUAAUACUUAGUGAAGUAUAUACUGCGUGCAAAUAUUUCAAAGUAAUAAAAGGUAGUAACAGACAAGUGAACGAGAUUAAUUAUCAUAUUUCUAUCCUUGCCUGGACGCAACACGUCAGAAUUUAGUGGAGCUCUUCUUCCCUCCCUCGCCCCGGCUAGCCAGGAUCCAAUUCGUUUGAUCAGGCUGUCCAUAAGAAAUGAAAGAGGUCACCUUUGUGUCGAGGAGCAGACGAGCCUUGCUGAACAAAAACUGUUCUUUCCAUGCAGCUUUUUGCACUGAACUCAGUUUGAACCGAGCUUUUACGAGAGUAGUAGAGUGGGGAGAAAAUACUUACGUCCCCAAAGGACAUGGUGGUUGUCGGAACGUGACGGGCGGGGGCUUAAAAUGGCAGAGGCCACCACACGAUUAAAAUGGAUUGAUGAGUUGUAUCAAAGUUGUGGCAGCAUGACCCUAUUGGAAGAUGAAAACCUCCAUCUUAAAUGGAGAAUUGCUCUGUGAGGUGGAUGCAGAGGAACCAUGAUAAGAUUGGGAAGAUCGGUCAAUGAGUGAUGACCUGUUUCUGCUCCAGUCAUUGAGAUUCACUUUAAGAACAUGAAUGACCAUAGCUACUCAUAUUUUCUGAAGAGGAUCGCAGGGGAUUAAUUUGCUCCUGUUUUAGUAGCACAAAAUACGGCACGAUUAUUGUCAUAGCACAGAUAAAUGUAAACAUUUUCCGGUGACUUCACUUGUAACUGCUAAUAACCAAAACAAGUGCUUGUAUUAACUGUUUGUAUCCCCAUUGGAUAUGAAUUUUAAGAAACUUCCUCCACUAAUCUUUGAAACAAUGAUUUGGAUUUUCAGUGGAUAAAAUUGUGUGCACAUAC